UACAAGGUAGACUCACGCAUAAGGAAUGGCCAUCAAUGGGAAGGAAAUGGCCAUUGACAUUAACAUUAGUAACAUUCAUCUGAACUACAAGGGAAUAUUGUAAUGAAAACUCCGACAAUAUUUUCGACUGACUCCUGAUGCUCAAGGAGUAUUUCUGCUCUGUUUGUACAAGAGAUGGCCCAUUGAAAGAUUUGGGAUGGAAUACUAAUUUUACAGUCAAACUAAACAUAUCACCACAUUAAUUUUCAAUUAAUGUGGGAGGCUGAAUGGAGGAAAUUCUACAUUAUAACCAUGGCAAGCUGGUUUAACUUCGACAUGAAUGUUAUCUCAUUCAGGUACUGGAGCUUUCACAUUCCACAGCAAGAUACCUCAAAAAGGUUUGCCAUUGAGACUUGUAAUUAAUUAGCCUGAGCUGGU